ensembl:miRNA
CCGCUUUCAGUCACACUUUGCUCUGCAAGUAACAUGUGGUCUGAAAAUCGCU